rnacentral:lncRNA from 1 species
AGGGAAAUUCUGGGGACUUCAUCUGUAAAUCAGCCUUUUCCAGUUAUAUUCUUUCUGUUAGUCCAUCAACAAGCAUUUGUAAAACUCCUAUUCAGUGCUGGGUACUGCGUUAAUUGCAGCAAAUGGACAUAUUUAGAAGCAAGAGGCCAUUAAAGAAUUUAAAAUCUAGUUAGAAAGCAGAAGUAGACAGGACUGCUGUUGGUUCUAUAGCUAGUAACUUUAAGAAUCAAGGGAGUGAUUUAUGUAAAUUUUAUAUAAAAUUUAUGCAAAGUCUUUUUCUAUCUGUGUUUGUGUGCAUGUGUGAGAGAGAGAAAAAGAGACAGAGGAAGAGAGAAAGAGGACAGAGCACAUGUGUCUGUAUAUCUAGAAACAGAAAGACAGAAAAAGAAAUGUCUGGAAAGAUGUUGACCAAAAAAGUUAAGUUGCAGCUCUUAGGACCUGCAUAGCAAACUGCUUGAGCGUAGCGUCUCAGAAGACACAAUGUAGGUUUAAAUCCCAAUUCUGCCAUUGACGGUAUUACUUACUUUGUCCGUGUUGUAUUUAGCCUGAGUCUCAGUUUUCUUGAAACUGGACAGUAAUGUUGUCUCCUACAGAGUUCUCAUCGGGAUUAACUAGGAAGAUGUGCAUAGAGCCUUUUGUAGUGCCUGGUGGCUGUCCUUUAAAUAUCAGUGCUCAAUACAUGUAACCACUUACAGUGAUGAGCUAUUGAAAGAGGAGAGGAUGCAAGGGGAAGUCUUGGAAAAGGCAAGACCUGAAUGGGUCCUUGGAUAAGGGUGAAGAUUUGGCUGCUACAAGGGAAGGCUGGGGGUGUUCAGGAUUAGGGCAACAUUCUGAGCAGAGGCAGGAAGGAGCCUUAUCGGUUUUCUGAGAAAGAGAAAGCUUGGGUGAAGUGAGAAACAAGGUUGCAUAAGAAGGGCACUCGAGAUAGUGGUGAGCCUCAGGAAUUUUGGUUAUUGUCCAAUAGGGAAAAGAAAGCUCUUGAAUGUGUUUGAGGCAGACAGAAUUUCAUCAGUUUAAUGUGCCCUGUCAAUGAGUAAACAAGUGAUGCUGGAAGGGGAACAAAGGCAAGAUGGUGGCUAAGAUGGUGGGAUUUUUCAUCUUCCCAACUCCACCCCAACAAAAAUAGAGAUGACAACUAAGACUGCAAAACAAACAAAUAAGAAGCAAGCAACCAGGCAGGAAGGCAGCAGAAGGAAGGCAGUCCAAGAUCCAGAAAAACUAGAGAUUACUAACUAGUAUUCACCUUUACAAGGAGGAGAAGGUGUUAAGUUUGACAGCCUGCUGAGAUUUGGGGGUGUGUGUGGGGGGGGUGGUUUUCAGUUUCUAAAUGGUAGUAGAGGUGGCCUGUGGCCAACUCCCCUUGAGAGGAAGAGUCCCACUGAAGAAAACUAUUCUGAAAGAUUUCAAUAGAGAUGUGUCCUGAGUGGAUAACUGCCCAGCCCUAACACUGUUGAGAGACAGGAUAACAGAGCCCUGGGCCAGCAGGGGGUGGUGCAUUAACAUUAUGUGAGUCUAGAAGCCUCUGCAAGGAGGAGCAGGUGGAGUGCCGUAAGAGCCAAGGAUAGGCAAGGUGUCCCUUCCCCCUGGCUUCCUGUCAAGAACGCAGCACUCCUGCAAAACAGAAACAAACCAGUGCCAAAGACAGGAGUAUGAGGACUUAGACUAUGGGGACAAGAUCGCCUUAUGAGGAGGCAACCAUCAGAAAUGGUCAAAACCCAGGCUCUCUCUGAUCCAUGGAUUCUCUUCCCUAGGGGGCCAUCUCCAUCCUCCUUCAAAAAAAAAAACUGAGUUAGUUUCCACUAAGGACACUUAAAUAGCCAAAUAGCUGACACUUAUAAGGCAAAACAAAAUCACAGAGGCAAGUAUCCAGAGAGCUGAGGAACGCAGCUACUAUUAAUAAAUAGAAAUCCAUACUAGACGGGAUAGACACCUUUUAAAAAUGGAAAUAACUAUAAUGCAUACAAUCAAAUAAGGACAAAUAGUAUAUUCAUAUAGGAUGAAUAUGGUGACUUUUUAGAAGAUCAAGGAAAAAUACCACUUAGGAAAAAUACAACUGUUUAAUUAAGGAGCUCAGUUGAAGAGCUAAAGAACAGAAUGGAUACAAACAAAUCUGAACCAAAUUUGAACCAAAGAUUGGGUUGAGGGACUAUUUCACAAGGCAUCAGGAAGAAAUAAAGUGAAGAAAAAUAAACCAGAAAAGGAAAGAAUAAUAAAAGCAAGAAGUAAGUGUUUUAGGAUCCCUGGUGACCUGGUGGUUAAGGAUCUGGCAUUGUCACUACUGCAGUACAGAUUCAGUCCCGGGCCUGGGAACUUCCACAUGCUGCAGAUGCAGCCAAAAAAAAAAAAAAAAUUUAAAUAAGAGUUCCAGAAGAGGAAAAAGGUAAACAGGGAGAUAUGGGCUAUUGUAACCCUGUGGCCCCCAGGGUAUCACACCUCAUACACUGUAGAGUUAGUCCUCUCACAUUGAUGCUGAACUUGAUCAUGGAUCUUACUUUGACCAAUGGGAUAUGAAUAAACAUGAAGCGAGAAGAGAUGAUGUAAGUACAUGUGCUAGGGGCACACAGGAUCAUGUGACCUACACUGAUUUACUUUGACUGAUGGAAUAUCCAUCAACUUGAACCAAGCAGAGGAAACACUAGUGCACACUGCUCUGACCAUGAGAGUAAGCCUCGUCUAGCCUCCUUGAGGAUGAAAGACCUUAUGAAGAGAGGGGUGUGGUCAUUCCUGUUCAGAGAAACCCAGUGCCCUGGAUUCCCUUCAGCUGAAAAAGCAGACACAAGAAUAUGCCCAGUGAAACCAACAGAAUUACCCAGCCAACUCAGACCCUUAAAUCACUGUUGUUCUUUUAAGCCACUAUGUUUUGGGGUAAUUUAUUAUGCAUGCAGCAAUAGAUAAGUCACAGAGGAGAUAUAGGUGAAUAAUGACCUAAAAUUUCCAAGGUAAAAGAUUUUAGACAGAAAUAAAAAUAUUUGAGACUGAAAGGCUAGUAGAGUACAAAACAAUAGGAAUAAAUUAAUUAUCAUCUAAGGUUAUUCCAAAAGGCAGUUCAAGAGCAUGUAGAAAAAAAAUAAAAUAAUACGAAUUCAUUUGAUAUCAGAUUUCUCAGCUGUGACACUGAAAUCAAGGAGUCAAUGGCAUAUUAUUUUCAAGGAGAAAAUAAGGACUUUUAGAGUUAAACUGUACCAUUUAAAUAUGAGGUUUCAAUAAAAAUAUUCUUAGGUAAACAAAGCUAUAGAACUUUAACAUCGAGACACCCCUAAAAAUACUCCUGAACCAAAAACUAGUAAGUUCUCAAAAAGUUACAUGUAAUCAAUCAAAGCAAAUAUAUAUAAUAUAUGACAAAUGUAUAUAUAACAAAAUAUAAAUAGGAAGAAAAGCAAAAUUUUAUUUGCAAAUAUUUAUAAAGUAGAUAAACUUUAUAGUACUUACUUACUCUUACCUUAUUUUUAAAGAAAGAGUAAUGAGUAAAAAAAAAAAAUGUGAGGAGUUCCCAUCGUGGCUCAGGAGUUACAAACCCAAGUAGUAUCCAUGAGGAUGGAAUUUGAUCCCUGGUCUCGCUCAGUGGGUUAAGGAUCCCACGUUGCCGUGAGCUGUGGUGUAGGUCACAGACACAGCUUGGAUCCCAUGUUGCUGUGGCUGUGGUGUAGGCUGUCAGCUGCAGCUUCGACUUGACCCCUGGCCCGGGAACUUUCAUAUGCUCCAAGUGUGGACCUAAAAAAGUAAAACAAAAACAAACAAAAAAAAAGGAAACAGAAUCAUAGACAGAGAAAACAAACUUAUGGUUACCAAAGGAGAAAGGGGGGUGGGUAAGGGGUCAAUUCGAAUUUUGGGAUUAGCAGAUACACACUAUUAGAUAUAAAACAAAUGACAAGGACCUACUGUAUAGCACAGGGAACUAUAUUCACUGUCUUGUAAUAAACUCUAAUGGAAAAGAAUAUGAAAAAGUAUGUACAUCUUUAUAUAUAUCUUUGUGGUAUGCCAGAAGCUAACACAACACUGUAAAUAAACUAUACUUCAGUAAAAAUAAUAAAAAAUAAAGCUGUAACAAUAAUUACAUGAUACACUGAGAAAAUGAAGUCAGUGACAGUAGACUGCAGACAGUGGAAUGAGCUGCAGUCAAAUGCCAGUUAGGCCUUGUCUUGGUGGAAGAGCUUUGGGAAGAGCAGAGCAGGGGUGGCUAGGAGGUGUAUUUCAUUAAAAUGUCAGGAGGAAUUUCUGACUGAAUGAGUGUAGGGGUUAAGAGGAGGCUGAGCUGUGGUGGGAGUUGAUGUUGGCCAGACAGAUCAGGGAUAGACUAUACAGGUCAUUCUUAAGAUUUAAAUCAUUUUUUUUUUAAUGGGAAGUUUAGUUGAUUUACAAGGUGUUAAUGUAGCAAAAGGAUUCAGUUAUACACACACAUAUAUUCUUUUCCCAUUAUGGUUUUUUUUUAAAAAUUAUUAUUAAAGUACAGUUGCUUCAGAUGUUUUGUCAAGUUCUGUUGUACAACAGUGACCCAAUCACACACAUUUCCCGGUGCUGUGCAGUAGGAUCGCACUGCUCAUCCGUUCCACAUAUAACAGUUCGUAUCCAACCCCCUGCCCCAAGUGCCCAUUCAUCCCACUCCCCCUCUUUCCACCUUGGGGACCCCAAGUCUGCUCUUCUUGGCCAUGAUCUGUUUCUUCUUUUUUUUUAAUCUAAAAUACGGAACAUAUGAUCUAUGUCUAGGUCAUUUAUAGGUCAUUUAAGUUAAUCUCAGGAACGUUCUGUGGAAGGGCAGCAGGGAGGAUGAUGCAUCAGAAAGGAGGAGACCAGUUAGACUAACUGGAGAAACACCCAUUAACCAUUACAAUAGUCAGGCUGAAGGGCUGAACUGAGACUGUGGGAACUGGGAGGGGAAGGAGGAAUUAGAGCCAGGAGAUAUUUAAAAUGUUGAAUCUGAGUGACUUGGUAGAUUAGUUGAGAGUGGAUGGUGGAGUUCCCAUUGUGGCACAGCGGAAAUGAAUCUGACUGGGAACCAUGAGGUUGCAGGUUUGAUCCCUGGCGUCACUCAGUGGGUUAAGGAUCUGGCGUUGCUGUGAGCUGUGGUGUAGGUCAAGGCUCAGAUCUGGCAUUGUUGUGGCUUUGGUGUAGGCCAGCAGUUGUAACUCCGAUUGGACCCCUAGCCUGGGAAACUUCAUAUGCCAUGGGUGUGGCCCUAAAAGGAUAAAAAGACCAAAAAAAAAAAAAAAAUGGAAAGAAAAAGAAAAAAAAAGAAACUGGAUGGUGAGGAAAGGGAAGGUUUCCUGGAAACUGAGUUUUCUUGUUUUGUCAAGAGGUAUGAACAUUAACCAAUAUAGGAAAUUCAGGGGACAUCGUUUUAGCUAGAAAUUAGUCUAAUUCUGAAUAUGCAAGUACGGAUGCUUCCAAUUACACACGUCCAGUGGGUAAUUAGAAACGUAGGUCUGGAACUUGAGAGAGGUUAGGGCUGAGGAUAUAGAAUGAAGAAUCACCAAAAUUGGUUAAUUGAAGCCAGGGAUAUAUAUAAAAUUUCACAGAAAAUGACUGUGGAAGGUCAAUGCCAGGCAGUCAAGUUCUCCAGGAGUCUGUGGUCCAAAGGCAGAAACCAGCUCUGCCUUUGAGAGGGGCAGGGGAAUGCUGGAAAAAAUGAGAGCCACGUUUGGCAACUGUCAGAUCACAUCUGCUUUCUGUGGCGUGGUUUCUGCACUGACUGACAAUCAGCACACAAAAAUAUAUGCAACCCAUCAAACACACACAUCCACCCUGCACAUAUCUGCCUAAAUAUUUAGACACAGCCAGGAAGUGACAGAAAUUAUUAAGAAAUUGAAAUUCCAAUCACUAAAGGUGAUCAGUGAAACUGAGAUCAGCUCUCAAUCCAACCAGACUCCCUUCAUCAGACCAGAGGUUCAUUUGUCACUUCUAGAGGGGGGAAGGGGCCAUUCAACCAACGUGGAAGGUUCUCUAUUUAACUGAUGAUUUAUACCUUAUCCCCUAAUUCUCCUUUGGUGAAUUUUUUUUUCUUGUGACAUCCCAACACAAGAGGGUAGACUGAGGAAGCGAGCCAAGGGCAGGGCAUAGGUAUAGUUAAAAGGAUAUUAAACUUGGCAUCAGAAGAUUGAGUUCAAGUCCCAGCUCCACUGGUUUCUACCCCUGUGACCCAGCUUCCCUGAGCCUGUUCUUAUCUGUAAAAUAAGAAUAUUUACUCCUGGAGUUCUUGUGUGGCACUGAGAAAAGGAAUCUGACUAGGAACCAUCAGGUUGCAGGUUUGAUCCCUGGCCUCGCUCAGUGGGUUAAGGAUCCGGCGUUGCCGUGAGCUGUGGUGUAGGUCGCAGACGCAGCUCAGACCUGGUGUUGCUGUGGCCCCGGUGCAGGUCAGUAGCUGUAGCUCCGAUUUGUCCCCUAGCCUAGGAACCUCCAUAUGCUGCGAGUGCAGCGCUAAAAAGCAAAAAAAAAAAAAAA